ensembl:lncRNA
AUUGCUGCCAGUACAAACACUGUUAUCUUGUCCAGCUGUAUGGCCUGGCUCACUUUAUAACACAGCCUUGCAAUUCCUUAUCUUGCCUUUCUGCACAGCAGGGACCAGAUUCUGAAAGGGCACAACUCUCAGGUGGGAAGCCAAAAGGAAGCAGCCAAACAGCAUCACCAGAUGCUUCCAUCAGUCUUAAGAAGAUGGAUUCAGAAACUUUCCAAUGCUUUGCCAGGAGGAGAUUGAGCUUAGAAUGAGGAUGGCUGCCCACAUUACACCAACCCGGAAGGAACAUCUGAAGAUGACCCACUGCGCCCAGCUGGCCGUCGCUGUGGUAGUCAUCUUGUGGCUGCAAGCGGCAGACGGCUGGAUCGUCCAGCAGCCAAAAGAAAACGUCUGGGUCACGCUUGCGAAAUCUUUGCAGCAAGAAAACCUAUGUCUGGCCAUGGGCAAUGUGGACAAUCCAUUGUCCACAUGCUUGGUGGGGGUUCCCCUGGUUGCCGAUGAUUGGCCCGUGUUCAACUCCGACCUGCUCCGAACCACAGGUAAGAGACCUAACCCGGUCGACACUUGGGAUGAGUAGACAAAAAUUUUAACAAACAGCAAAGAGGAACCCCAAGAAUUGGAUCUGCUGGGGUCCUCCACAGCUACAUAUUGUGUAAAAUUCUAUUACAGAAGGCCAAGUCAAAAUUGGCAUGGAAUCGAUUUGGCCAAGAAUACUUACAGAAAGGAUGUUACACCUCUCAACAAAAAAUAUAAUAGUCAGACCUGGUGCAAUUACACCAGCCAGGUCAUUUUGGUCUCCUCCACGCGUCCUAAGGUGCUCCCCAGGGGGAUGUUUCUUAUCUGUGGGGACAGAGUAUGGUCAGGAAUUCCAUUCCGGCUCCAGGGGGGACCAUGUAGCCUUGGCAAGCUUGCUACUCUCACUCUGAACAAGACCCAAAUUAUAGAUUGGAAAAAAGAGAAACAAUUGGCACGCACAAAAAGAUCAUACAACCAAUUUGAUGAAAAUUGCGAUUCCGAAAUUUAUAAUUGGGGAAAAACAAAGAGGAUCGCUGCAUCCAUUUUUCUCCCUUGGUAUGCGGCAGCUAAGGUCCUCGGUGAGCUUUCUCACUUGUAGUGCUGGAUUAGUAAGAAUGCCAACGCACGUCUGCCGCUCUCUCCGAUCUUCUGGCAGACGAGCAAACCAGCAGGCAUGCCACUCUACAAAAUCGAGCGGCCAUAGACUUCUUACUCCUAGCCCAUGGCCACAGCUGCGAGGACUUUGAUGGACUGUGCUGUUUUAAUUUAUCAUCUAGAAGCACGUCAAUUCAAGCCAACAUCAAGCGGAUCGAGGCGCAAGUAAAAGAUCUAAAGACUGAAACUUCAGCUGCUUACCCAGUAGAUAAAGCCUUUUCGCAGUGGGGUGUCCCCGGAUGGGCAGCCUCCAUCAUCAAAGGACUUCUAUGGAUUUUUGUAAUCAUCCUCCUCAUUUUUAUCACUUUAGCGAUCUUUAAGAAAUAUUUAGUUAAGACUUUGGGGGAUGUCUUUUUAAUUAACAAAGACGGGGGAGAUGUGGGAGGGGGUGUGGCUGAUGGCCCCCCUGCUCUGCCUUGGGAGGCAACUGACAUUUAGUUUCCCGCCUCCCCCAGUUGUCAGUCUUUUGUUAUCCCUUCCCUUUGCUCCUGUCCAUCAUUGUGUACUCCUUCCCCGAGUUCUGGAAAGUUCUUAGUUCUCUGUACCCCCGUUGGUUCUCCCCUCGAAGCCAUCCCUUCCCUCCAUCCCAGUUGGCUGUUGCCCUGUCGCUCUUCCCUGACUCUACCCUCAAGCCCUCACCUGGUUGGAUGUUUUGUACCCUGACCCUCCUACCCAGUUAUAGUUAUAAUCUCUGCCCCGCCCCUGGUUUGGGGCUCUUGGAGCUGGCUUCCCUUCCGUGUGGUUGUUCCCCUCAUCCCUCGCCUCGUUUUCCCUCUUACGAACCCUUGGAAAUAAAGCCGCCCGGGAGACACCCGCCUUUUGUGGAAGCCCGUUAUUUCGCCAACCACCGACGCACCUGUGGUCCGGAUCCGGCAGCUAUCCGCGGUGACUCUAGGACCCAGGCGCGUCAAUAACUUUAAGAAUUAGCAUUUUUUAACAUUAAAUUUUGAUUACCCUAAUUACCAGGACCACAGGAAAGCAGAAUCUGAAAGCUACAUUUGCAGCAGUUACUGAAGUAUUUUGAUUGUGCAUUGCAGGAAGGAAUCACUGUUUGAAGUUAGUCAUAAACCCUUCCUUUUAGGCAGCUGCUAAAUGACAUGGAUCUGAACAUGCCACAGAGUUUUGGGUUCAAGUUAUUUUCUAAGCCAAGAGAAGCCAGUAUUUUGACUAAAACUAGAAAAGUUUUGAUCUCAUCAGAACUUUAUCAUCCAAAAAACUGAACUCCUGCUAGACUGCCUUAACUGAUUACUGAUUGCAAGAUCCUUAUGAUUUUGGAUUAAAUAUACUAGAUAAUCUCAAAUAUUGUAAAUUAAGAAAUGUUUUGUGAUAAUACAUGUCUCUACGACACAAGCAACAUGUGUAGCAUGUUGCAACACCAUAAAAAGAGCAAUCUUUUUACAAUUUCUCUCUUCUUACUUUCUUAAUCAGUACAUAUACAAUUAAAUUGAUCUAGGAAAACUUAGUGACAUUGAGGCUUUUCUUUAUCCAUGGCUGGGAGAGGCAAAGAAAAUUUUUUCCUUUAAAGCAGCUACUAAAGGAUUUACAAGCAUAUCAACUAUGGUGCCUGAAGAAAUACUGCUGCAAUAAAUUAUAGAAUAGAAUUUCAACAGAUAUUACACAGAUAUUUGCAGAUGCUGCUCUGGAAAUAAACAAUUUUCAAGUACACAGGUUUUUCAUUUAAGGACAGGUGAAAAAAAAAUUGCAAGUAAAUGAAACUAUACCUAGGGUAUUUUUAAUAAAUCAAAUGUUGAAAUGGAAAUCAUUUAGACACCUGCAACUGCUUGCCAAGUUUGAAACUUGGGGGAAAUAACCCUUGAACACUAAGAGCUUUUCAAAAAAUAAAGAUGCAUACAUUGUUUUCCGAAAUUCUUACAAGGAUCUGAGUCCCAUAUGAAAUGUAAAUGAAAGCAUCAACCACAAGAAUUCAAUGUGACAUUAAUUUUGAACAUGCUCAGCCAAGACAACAUUUAAACAAAAACUUCUUCUGUAUUAAUUAUGAUCCUUGCAAAUGAGUGUAAAUUACUGCAGAGAGAUGCACCAGCCAUUCUCAGGGCAAGGCUGGCUAAGCAACUGCCUCUCUGAAUAGACAGGUAGCUAAACCUCCUUGGAAAGCAAAACAAGACAAAAAAAAUUUCUUCUCUUUUUUCCUCUUUACUGUGCAGCCAAAAGUACCCUGUGGGAUCUGCAUCUAAUAGUACACAAUGCAUAGAGAAGUAAUCCUGUAAAAGCUGACUGUGUUUGUGAUUUAUGCAAAGCAGAAAGGAAGUGUGUGUGGAAGCUGGAAACCUGUCUAAUGUGACUAACAUGGAUUUGUACAGAGACAAAACACUUUGAAAUGAAAUGUAGAAUCUCUCUCACAUGGAGUUAUCUAAUGUUUUAUUUGAUAUUAAGAAAAUAUCAGUGUAUAUCUAGAUGAAUCCCUAUUUAGCUAAGGCCGUUUUUUAUUGUUGAAAAAUAUAUUUUAUCUAGAGUUAUAUGUUUUGGUUUCUUCUUACUAUGCUUUCAGCUCUUCCAGCAAGAAAACUCCACCUGUGUAAUGGAUAACUAAGA